GUGAAUAUAGUUUAACAAAAACAUUAGACUGUGAAUCUAACAAUAGAAGCCCACUUGCCUUCUUAUUUACC
rnacentral:tRNA from 3 species